AGCGAACGCUGGCGGCAGGCCUAACACAUGCAAGUCGAGCGGCAGCGGGAAAGUAGCUUGCUACUUUUGCCGGCGAGCGGCGGACGGGUGAGUAAUGCCUGGGAAAUUGCCCAGUCGAGGGGGAUAACAGUUGGAAACGACUGCUAAUACCGCAUACGCCCUACGGGGGAAAGCAGGGGACCUUCGGGCCUUGCGCGAUUGGAUAUGCCCAGGUGGGAUUAGCUAGUUGGUGAGGUAAUGGCUCACCAAGGCGACGAUCCCUAGCUGGUCUGAGAGGAUGAUCAGCCACACUGGAACUGAGACACGGUCCAGACUCCUACGGGAGGCAGCAGUGGGGAAGAUUGCACAAUGGGGGAAACCCUGAUGCAGCCAUGCCGCGUGUGUGAAGAAGGCCUUCGGGUUGUAAAGCACUUUCAGCGAGGAGGAAAGGUUGGUGCCUAAUACGUAUCAACUGUGACGUUACUCGCAGAAGAAGCACCGGCUAACUCCGUGCCAGCCGCCGCAGUAAUAC
rnacentral:rRNA from 1 species